GGUUUUGCAGUGGUGUUUACAAUUAAUUGAUUACAAUCAAUUACAGAUUUUUUCCCUCUCCAUUUCCACUGCUUCACUUGACCAGCCUUAA
rnacentral:sRNA from 1 species